GAUGAACGCUGGCGGCGUGCCUAAUACAUGCAAGUCGAGCGAACAGAUGAGGAGCUUGCUCCUCUGACGUUAGCGGCGGACGGGUGAGUAACACGUGGAUAACCUACCUAUAAGACUGGGAUAACUUCGGGAAACCGGAGCUAAUACCGGAUAAUAUAUUGAACCGCAUGGUUCAAUAGUGAAAGACGGUUUUGCUGUCACUUAUAGAUGGAUCCGCGCCGCAUUAGCUAGUUGGUAAGGUAACGGCUUACCAAGGCAACGAUGCGUAGCCGACCUGAGAGGGUGAUCGGCCACACUGGAACUGAGACACGGUCCAGACUCCUACGGGAGGCAGCAGUAGGGAAUCUUCCGCAAUGGGCGAAAGCCUGACGGAGCAACGCCGCGUGAGUGAUGAAGGUCUUCGGAUCGUAAAACUCUGUUAUUAGGGAAGAACAAAUGUGUAAGUAACGAUGCACGUCUUGACGGUACCUAAUCAGAAAGCCACGGCUAACGACGUGC
rnacentral:rRNA from 1 species